rnacentral:rRNA from 1 species
GCCUCUUGAUUAAACCAUAAGAGGUCCAGCCUGCCCAGUGACAUUGUUCAACGGCCGCGGUAUCCUAACCGUGCGAAGGUAGCGUAAUCACUUGUCCUUUAAAUGAAGACUAGUAUGAAUGGCCCCACGAAAGCUAUACUGUCUCCUUUUUCUAAUCAGUUAAACUAAUCUCCCCGUGAAGAAGCGGGGAUAAACAUAUAAGACGAGAAGACCCUAUGGAGCUUCAAACAACUGAAACACUUGUAUAUCCUCCCCUCACCUACCAACAUUUAACCUCACAUUUUGUUUCUAGUUUUAGGUUGGGGUGACCACGGAGAAAAAACUAACCUCCACGACGAAAGAGACAUCUCUAAACAAAAAGCUACAUCUUUAUGUAUUAACACAUUAACCUUUAUUGACCCAAUAAAUUGAUCAACGAACCAAG